GACGAACGCUGGCGGCGUGCCUAAUACAUGCAAGUAGGACGCAGUUGCGAACGGGGGAGUAAAGCGUGGGUCACUACCUAUUAGAGGGGGAUAACUAUUGGAAACGAUAGCGAAUACCGCAUACUAGUAGAUGGACCUGCGUUGUAUUAGCUAGGAGGUUGGGUAAAGGCCUACCUAGGCAACGAUACAUAGACGACCUGAGAGGAUGAACGGCGAUACUGGGACUGAGACACGGCCCAGACUCCUACGGGAGGCAGCAGUAGGGAAUCUUCGGCAAUGGGGGGAACCCUGACCGAGCAACGCCGCGUGAGUGAAGAAGGUUUUCGGAUCGUAAAGCUCUGUUGUUAAGGAAGCGGUACUUAACCAGAAAGGGACGGCUAACUACGUGCCAGCAGCCGCGGUAAUUC
rnacentral:rRNA from 1 species